UCAAAACAAUAAAAUCUGAAAUCACACAAAUUUUACGUAAAAAAAUAAUUCAAUAAAAAUACUUGGAAAUGGCAAACGCGUGGUCUCAUUCUUCUUCUAGCAUCAAACCAGCACGGAUCAGAACAUUCCAAUGUUGCCCACCAACUACUCGACGUAUACGAUUAGAGAGCACCCAGAUCCCGAACGUCGUAGUGAAACUAUAAUUUCUGUGGCGCUAGCAGUCAUAGCUGUGGCCGUUGGUAUUUUUUGUAUCAUCUUUUGGCUGCGGUGCCGCAAAUUUCCUUUACGGAGGAGUACCAACAGUCAACUGGAACAGCUGGAAAUCGCUGGACGUGGGCCGACGAGUAGCUCGGUACCCUCACAAGUUUCGGUGGAUCAGCAAAGAUCCGCGCGUGUCAGAUUUGAAGCACCAAUACCGUAGAAAUACUAUACGAUAGUCCAAGAAUAUCAGCAUUACUCCUCCAGACCGCUGAAAAACUCAACGAAAAGUGAAAAAAUUGUGCUCGAAAAUCUAAUUAAACUUCGGCUCACCUUCAACAACCCAAUUCUACGUACAAUUGUCUCUUCUCUUCGAAACUGACUUUUCUUCUUCAUUUUUGCAAAGUUUGUUUAUUGAAAAGUUU